CUACGUGCCAGCAGCCGCGGUAAUACGGAAGGUCCAGGCGUUAUCCGGAUUUAUUGGGUUUAAAGGGAGCGUAGGCUGGAGAUUAAGUGUGUUGUGAAAUGUAGACGCUCAACGUCUGAAUUGCAGCGCAUACUGGUUUCCUUGAGUACGCACAACGUUGGCGGAAUUCGUCGUGUAGCGGUGAAAUGCUUAGAUAUGACGAAGAACUCCGAUUGCGAAGGCAGCUGACGGGAGCGCAACUGACGCUUAAGCUCGAAGGUGCGGGUAUCAAACAGGAUUAGAUACCCUGGUAGUCCGCACAGUAAACGAUGGAUGCCCGCUGUUGGUACCUGGUAUCAGCGGCUAAGCGAAAGCAUUAAGCAUCCCACCUGGGGAGUACGCCGGCAACGGUGAAACUCAAAGGAAUUGACGGGGGCCCGCACAAGCGGUGGAGCAUGUGGUUUAAUUCGAAGCAACGCGAAGAACCUUACCAAAUCUU
rnacentral:rRNA from 1 species